AAAUCUUUCAAAACAAUGCAACAAGCACUUUAAAUAAGAAUAAUAUAAUUUGUUAUUAAUAAAGAUACAGUUACUAGAGAGUUUAAGUUAAUAAAAAUGCCAUUGAAUCUGCAGGCAUUUUUACCAAUGUUUUUAUAUCGAGAAUGCAGUUAUGAAGAAUUUGAGUUUAUUUCUGAUACAUUUAAUUUUAAAAAACUCCCAUUUUAUUCUGAGCAAAAAAAAAUUAUAUACAAGACAGAAGUAACUCACGAAAACUCUAGAAGUGAGGAUUUCCCAUCUUUAUGGCCUUUGGAUGAUGAAUUGGACUCAGGAGACUGGAUUGAAGUUCAAAAGUUUUAAUUUAAUUUCCCCAAAAUGUAGGAAUGCAUCUCAUCAAUUUGCAUAGAACUUUUAUAAAGUAGACAUCAGUGAUGCUUAGUUUCAAAACAAUAUUGAGGCAAAUAAUCUACAGUAUGUUUAGGGAAAUAAGCCAAGGCAUGCUGUCUGACAAAUGUUGUUGAAAAUUUUAAAAUUAUGAUAGAAUAUAUUCAAUGAUACCAGUUGAUAGUGAUCAUCUUAUGUCAGGAUUAAUCAAUGACCAACAAUUUCUAGAGUUUUCACAUUACUAACUAUGGAACUGUCUCCCACUGUUCUACUUACCAUAAGUUAGAAAUUGUCUUAUGAGAUUUAUGCAGAUUGUCAUAGAAAUUCUGAU
rnacentral:lncRNA from 1 species